UACGUAGGGGGCCAGCGUUGUCCGGAUUUAUUGGGCGUAAAGAGCGUGUAGGCGGCUAGAUAGGUCCGUUGUGAAAACUCGAGGCUCAACCUCGAGACGCCGGUGGAAACCAUCUAGCUAGAGUCCGGAAGAGGAGAGUGGAAUUCCUGGUGUAGCGGUGAAAUGCGCAGAUAUCAGGAAGAACACCCGUGGCGAAGGCGGCUCUCUGGGACGUGACUGACGCUGAGACGCGAAAGCGUGGGGAGCGAACAGG
rnacentral:rRNA from 1 species